AAAAAUAUCACAAAUGUUUCAAUUUUAAAUGUAAGAGCGAAUCAAAAUAAAUUCAAUUUUCUUGCUACAUGUUAGCUUUUCCUUCUCUGUUUUUCUUUAUAUAUUAUUUGACACCAAAGUCUAGUUCCGAUUGGCUAAAAUCUAGUUCUCUCGAUAAACACUUUACAUCAAAGAUAUUCACAAGAACACUACCCGCAAUAAGAUUAUCUAACUUAAAAGGUGUAGUUGUCUUUUAC
rnacentral:lncRNA from 1 species